rnacentral:lncRNA from 1 species
ACAGAUUUAUUUCCCCAGUUACCUGCUUCUUUUCUAAUUUUAGCUACAUUGGUUCCAUAGGUUCAAAAACGUUUUAAUUUUAUGUAAUCAGAAUUGUCCGGCUUAUCUUUUGGGAUCCUCUCUACUUUCGUUUGGUCAUGAACUAUUCCCCUGUUCGUAGGUCUGAAAGGUAAUUCUCCUGUUCCUCUGAUUUGUUCAUAAUGGCAUCCUUUAUGUCUAAUUCUGCUCAUGUCUCCUUUCUAGGUUUUCAUGACCCUGCUUUCUCCUGGUUCUCCUCUUAACUGUCUGACCUCAGUUACCUUUGCUGGAUCUUUAUCCAGGUCAAGUUGCUAACCAUGGGUGUUUUCCAAAGCUCUGUCCUCUACCUUCUUUUCUCUGUCUGUACUCAAACUCUCAGAUCACUUCACCCAUCCUUAACUUCUCUGCUGAGCUCCAUUCUCACGUCUCCAGCUGUCUAUUGGACAUCUUGAACUGGAUGUUCCAUUAACAUCUUACCUCAGUGUGUAUGAAACUGAACUCAUUAUUGUUCCCCCCAAAUCUUCCCCUCUUCCUAACUUCCCUAUUACUGUUGAGAGCACCACCAUCUUUCCAGUCACCCAGGCUUGCAGUCUGUGUCAUCCUUGACUCCUGACUAUCUUUCACUUCCUCCCCAUCCCCACUCCUCACCCCUGUCCCCCAUAUCCAAUCUUUUGCCACGACCUGUCAGUUCUACCUUGGCAACAUCUCUCAUAUGUGUCUCCUUCUCUCCUGUGACCCUGCUCCCACCCUGGUGUGGGACCACAUCACCUCAUGUCUGGAGUGUGUCAGUAGCCUGCUGGACAAUUCUCUCUCCACUCCAGUCCGUCUUCCAGUGGAUCCUUGUAUGUUGCUGCAAUAUAUGGUAUUAUGUGUUUCACACAUUAGAAGUGUUCUGCUCGUCAUCACUGACAUGGAUGCUGCACCCCUGCAAUGAAUUUUUUGAGGAUUCUGGAGAAGGAAAGCACAUCGAGGCCUAGAUGGCCCAGAGUUGUGAGUUGUCUUGGCCACAUAUUCCCUACACAUAUGCCUCAGUACCAUUGUACUUUAAGUUUGUGUCUAAUCUCUUCCAACCCCUGACUCCUCUCUGCCUCUUUGUGGGAGAGCGUGACCCAGGAUUGGGGGUGAAAUGCUUUGUAACCCUUCCCCCUCCAUUGUUGUUGAGUUGUGUCUGACUCUUCACAACUCCAUUUUGGGGUAAUGCUAAUUCUUUACAGAUUUCUAGGAGGAAGGACACCCAACCCUGAUAAUCAGGGUUUUGUUGAUGGAGCUGCUAUUAUGAGUCCAUUCCAGUGUUCGAUACCAGUGCCAGCUGCUUGAGAAUGAUUCUGGAGAUAGAAAACCUCUGGGUGACAGCAGAUCCAGUGUCGUACCUGUCCUGUGGUAAAGUCAGAGGCAGUGAUGCGAGGGAUUCCAUAAGGAGGAAGGACAUGUUUUAUAAAACCUUGGUUAGUGGCUGCCAUGGUAGCAGACUUAACUGGCACUGCAGUGCCAUAUCCUGAAUUGAAUAUCAAUUACAGUAAGGGAACCUUCUUACCUAGAGGUUGGGAAAGAGGGCCAAUAGAUCAUUUUUGCCAGUCAAAGGCAAGUCAGGAACCAUGUGGGAUCAUCCCAUACCAGUCUUUCAGAGGUGGAUGCUCUGAUUGAUACUAGGGGGAGAAUCAUUGAACAGAAGUAGAUGCCUCAUCCUUACUUAAGGGGAUCAUACGGUCCUGUGCCCACCACAGCAUGGCAUCAUAGCUCCCAUAGCCAAAAUGAUGAUGGACCCCAUCCUGACACAUUACAAGUGCUUAGUAAGUGUUUUUUGCUUGCCUGCCUGCCUGCUCAUACUCCAUGCUGUCAUUCCCAGAAGAGCCUCAGCUUGACUAGGCAGCUCACUUGAGGUUGUUUGGUGUUUCUAAUACGCGCUAAUAUUCCCCAUAUAGAACAUCACAGUG